CAUCCUCAUCUUGUGAAGCUGAUUGGUUAUUGCUUAGAGGAUGAACACAGGCUUUUGGCGUAUGAGUUCAUGCCUCGUGGCAGCUUGGAAAAUCAUUUAUUUAGGAGAGGGUCUUACUUCCAGCCUCUUUCUUGGAAUCUCCGGUUGAAGGUUGCUCUGGGUGCUGCAAAAGGGCUUGCAUUUCUUCAUAGUGCUGAAAAUAAAGUCAUAUAUCGAGACUUCAAGACUUCUAACAUUUUACUUGAUUCGAAAUACAAUGCAAAGCUCUCUGAUUUUGGGUUGGCCAAGGAUGGUCCAACGGGUGAUAAGAGUCAUGUGUCUACCAGGGUUAUGGGUACCUAUGGAUAUGCAGCUCCAGAAUAUCUAGC
rnacentral:misc_RNA from 1 species